GAUCAACGCUGGCGGCGUGCCUAAUACAUGCAAGUCGAGCGAACGGACGAGAAGCUUGCUUCUCUGAUAUUAGCGGCGGACGGGUGAGUAACACGUGGAUAACCUACCUAUAAGACUGGGAUAACUUCGGGAAACCGUAGCUAAUACCGGAUAAUAUUUUGAACCGCAUGGUUCAAAAGUGAAAGACGGUCUUGCUGUCACUUAUAGAUGGAUCCGCGCUGCAUUAGCUAGUUGGUAAGGUAACGGCUUACCAAGGCAACGAUGCAUAGCCGACCUGAGAGGGUGAUCGGCCACACUGGAACUGAGACACGGUCCAGACUCCUACGGGAGGCAGCAGUAGGGAAUCUUCCGCAAUGGGCGAAAGCCUGAUGGAGCAACGCCGCGUGAGUGAUGAAGGUCUUCGGAUCGUAAAACUCUGUUAUUAGGGAAGAACAUAUGUGUAAGUAACUGUGCACAUCUUGACGGUACCUAAUCAGAAAGCCACGGCUAACUACGUG
rnacentral:rRNA from 1 species